GGCGGACGGCUCAGUAACACGUGGCUAACCUACCCUCGGGUGGGGGAUAACCUCGGGAAACUGAGGAUAAUACCCCAUAGGAGAAGAGGUCUGGAAUGAUCCUUCUCUGAAAACAUAUGUGCCCGAGGAUGGGGCUGCGUCUGAUUAGGUAGUUGGUGGGGUAACGGCCCACCAAGCCUACGAUCAGUACGGGCCUUGAGAGAGGCAGCCCGGAGAUGGGGACUGAGACACGGCCCCAGGCCCUACGGGGCGCAGCAGGCGCGAAACCUCCGCAAUGCACGAAAGUGCGACGGGGGGACCCCAAGUGCUUACGCACUGCGUAGGCUUUUCUAAAGUGUAAAAAGCUUUAGGAAUAAGGGCUGGGCAAGUCCGGUGCCAGCAGCCGCGGUAACACCGGCGGCCCGAGUGGUGACCACUUUUAUUGGGCCUAAAGCGUCCGUAGCCGGUCCAGUAAGUCCCUGUUUAAAUCCUACGGCUUAACCGUAGGGCUGGCAGGGAUACUGCUGGACUUGGGACCGGGAGAGGGCGAGGGUACUUCAGGGGUAGCGGUGAAAUGUGUUGAUCCCUGGAGGACCACCUAUGGCGAAGGCACUCGCCUGG
rnacentral:rRNA from 1 species